rnacentral:lncRNA from 1 species
AACAAUCCAACCGGGGGAUCGUUUAACUAGCCCGUAGGAUUUUCAGGUGCUAUCCUGUGUCUAGGGAUGAGCGGUCCAACCGGGAGACUAAACUCCAUAGCUCACACACCGGAACAUCCAACGCCAUGUGUAGCUCCAAUACUAAGUCCUACGCGCGUAGACUGGAUCAUCACACACCAGAACAUCCAACGUCAUGGAUGAUGAUCCCAAACAAUAUACAGAGUCUUUCCAUACGCCGGAACAUCCAACGCCGCAUAUGGAAAGUGUCUCACAUGCCGGAACAUCCAACACCGCGUGUGAGACUGACAACCUAUUCUUCCCAUAUGCCUGAACAUCCAACGCCACGUGUGAGAAGUCUAAUAACUGGGGAAGGUACUUACAUAGUGUAAUCAUACAACUUCUCUCAACAACCCCUCAUAUCCAUGUUCUUCCACAACUCACCUUCACAACCCAAGUAUCUCGCCUAUAAAGAAUAUAUAUAUAUAUAUAUAUAUAUAACUUUCCCAAAAUCCAUAUAAAUUAUACUCUCG